rnacentral:misc_RNA from 1 species
UUUCCGUAGGUGAACCUGCGGAAGGAUCAUUAAUGAGUUGUCAUGGGGUUCGAUGCUGGCAGCCAAUUUUUGGAUGCAUGUGCUUGCCCUAACAAUCAUCUUCUUCCAAACACCUGUGCACAUUUUUGAGGGAGUCUUGAGUUGGUUGCCGCUCUUGGGUGAUUUUCUCACAUUCCCUUAAAUCAUUAUACGCUAUUAACAAUGUUGAACGUGCUCUGUGCCGCAAGGCCAUUAAUAUAAUACAACUUUUAACAACGGAUCUCUUGGCUCUC